AUUAGAGUUUGAUCCUGGCUCAGAAUGAACGUUGGCGGCGUGGAUUAGGCAUGCAAGUCGUACGGUAAGCUUCGGCUUAUAGUGGCGAAAGGGAGAGUAACGCGUGGUUACAUGCCCUCGGGACCGGGAUAGCGGCGGGAAACUGCCGGUAAUACCGGAUAAUAUCUUUGGAUCAAAGGUGUGAUUCCGCCCGAGGAUUGGACCGCGUUCUAUUAGCUUGUUGGCGGGGUAAUGGCCCACCAAGGCGACGAUGGAUACCGGGUGUGAGAGCAUGGCCCGGCUCACUGGGACUGAGACACUGCCCAGACACCUACGGGUGGCUGCAGUCGAGAAUCUUCGGCAAUGGGGGCAACCCUGACCGAGCGACGCCGCGUGCGGGACGAAGGCCUUCGGGUUGUAAACCGCUGUCAGUUGGGAGGAAGUGCCGGGGGGUUCUCCCCUCGGUUUGACCGAUCUUCAGAGGAAGGACGGGCUAAGUUCGUGCCAGCAGCCGCGGUAAGACGAACCGUCCAAACGUUAUUCGGUAUCACUGGGCUUAAAGCGUGCGUAGGCGGCCUGGUAGGUGAGGUGUGAAAGCCCACGGCUCAACCGUGGAAUUGCGCUUCAAACCACCAGGCUGGAGGAUGGCAGGGGUGAUGGGAACUGA
rnacentral:rRNA from 1 species